UGCAUGUCUCAGUACAAGCCAAAUUAAGGUGAAACCGCGAAAGGCUCAUUAACUCAUGUUAUGGUUCCUUAGAUCGUACCCACAUUUACUUGGAUAACUGUGGUAAUUCUAGAGCUAAUACAUGCAAACAGAGCCCCAACCGGAAACGGAAGGGGCGCUUUUAUUAGAUCAAAACCAAUCGGUGUCGGUCUCCGUCAUCGUACAACUUGGUGACUCUGAAUAACUUUACGCUGAUCGCACGGUCUUGCACCGGCGACGCAUCUUUCAAAUGUCUGCCUUAUCAACUGUCGAUGGUAGGUUCUGCGCCUACCAUGGUUGUAACGGGUAACGGGGAAUCAGGGUUCGAUUCCGGAGAGGGAGCCUGAGAAACGGCUACCACAUCCAAGGAAGGCAGCAGGCGCGCAAAUUACCCACUCCCGGCACGGGGAGGUAGUGACGAAAAAUAACGAUACGGGACUCAUCCGAGGCCCCGUAAUCGGAAUGAGUACACUCUAAACCCUUUAACGAGGAUCAAUUGGAGGGCAAGUCUGGUGCCAGCAGCCGCGGUAAUUCCAGCUCCAAUAGCGUAUAUAAAAGUUGUUGCGGUUAAAAAGCUCGUAGUCGAAUCUGUGUCCCGCGCCGCCGGUUCAUCGUUCGCGGUGUUAACUGGCGUGCCGCGGGACGUCCUGCCGGUGGGCUUAGCUCGCGAGGGCGGCCCAACUCAAUCCCGCCGCGGUGCUCUUCAUUGAGUGUCGAGGUGGGCCGGCACGUUUACUUUGAACAAAUUAGAGUGCUUAAAGCAGGCUAAAACUUCGCCUGAAUACUGUGUGCAUGUAAUAAUGGAAUAGGACCUCGNGUUCUAUUUUGUUGGUUUUCGCUUUUACCGCAUGUAAUGAUUAAUAGGAACGGAUGGGGGCAUUCGUAUGCGACGUAGA
rnacentral:rRNA from 1 species